GAUGAACGCUGGCGGCGUGCUUAAUACAUGCAAGUCGAGCGAACAGACGAGGAGCUUGCUCCUUUGACGUUAGCCGCGGGGGGGUGUAUAACGUGUGGAUAAUCCCCUUAACAUACUGGGAUAACUUGGGGACACCGGCGAUAACACCGGAUAAUAUAUUGAUCCGCAUGGUUCAAUAGUGAAAGACGGUUUUGGUGUAUCUUAUAGCUGGUUACCCGCUGCAUUGGGUAGUUGGUAAGGUAACGGCUUACCAAGGCAACGAUGCGUAGCCGACGUGAGCGAGGGAUAGGCCACACUGGAACUGAACCACGGUCCAGGCUCCUACGGGAGGCAGCAGAAGGGAAUCUGCCGCAAUGGGCGAAAGCCUGACGGAGCAGCGCCGCGUGUGUGAUGAAGGCCCUCGGAUCGUAAAACUGGGUUAUGAGUGGAAAACAAAUUUGUAAGGAACUAUGCACGUCUUGACGGUACCUAAUCAGGAAGCCACGGCUAACUACGUG
rnacentral:rRNA from 1 species